GACUGUAAAAAGCAGAAAGUGCUGCUCAUUACAGAGCACUGAUCAGAGCUGAGUGACUGACUGACACUGCUGCAAAAACUCUACAGUCAGCUAAAUACAAACAGGUUUUAGAUACAGAGACAGCAGAACAGCAUGUGCACUGCGGCUGAAGAACACACCGUGUGGAUCGGGUUCAUGGACAUCGUUCCUGUCAUCGGGACGGUAAAAGAGGCAGUGGAGCUGGUGUUGGCUCUGUACGAAGGGAAUAAAGCGGUGAUAAAGGAGAAAGAGAAGGCCAUUGAAAACAUUGUGAAAGAGUCAUUAAAAAAACACGUGAAGGCAAAACAUAUGAAAAAGUUGUCUCUACCUGAUAAACCAGCAGCAGCUGGAGCUGAAUUUUCUGGACUCAUAAAUGUGAGAGAGGUCAGAAAGGAAAUGAUUAUUGAACAUAUGGUCAAAGGUUCCAAAAGGGGAACAAAACCUCCAACUCCAGCUCAGCAGAAAGAGACACAGAAAAGAGUGGAGGCUAUUAAGAAAGACAUGUUAGAAAAGAUCCAUAUCAUCAAUCCAAACUUCAAACACGAGCUGAAGGAAGAACUGGGAAGGUCAGAAAGAGGCGAACAUGUCUUCAACAAUAGCAUUCUUAAAUUUCAUUUCAAAGUGCUGACUGAUUUUAUACAAAGCCAUCAUAUUGAUAAUCUAGGAGGAUAUAAUCAGCAGGCAAUGGAUACAUUAGGCAGCCACACACUUCCCCCAAACACAGCAGAAGAUAUUCAGACGAACAUGGUGGUUCACUUUGGUGAGGAUGAAUUCUACGUGAAUGCGAAUGGAGUGAUGUAUGGUGAAUAUUGCAGAGCACUGCGUGGUGCUUUGAUAGAUGUGCUGCGCCGCAUAAACCCAGGUGAUGUGACAGAAGAGGAGAGACAAAGGGUGAAUUUUGUCAUAGAUAAUAUGAAUAACCUUGAAAUCUAUGUGGACCAACUGGCAAAGGUCAGGUGGAUUGCCAAUAUAGAGAUUAGACAGGGCCGGUUUGAACAGGUAAGACAGGAAGUUGCGACCAUGUACAAAACAGCUCGUGGGUUUGACUGGUGCAUUCAUAUUUUGCAUGAAGUUGCACCUUUGUAUGGACAGUGAAUUUAUUUCUCCUGUUCAGGGUUGCCAGGUUUCCUUUCAAAAUUUCCAGCUCAACUACAUCCUAAAUUCCACAGACCUGAAACUAGCUUAAAAAGUUUGGACACUGGAAGAAACUAAAAGUUCACUGUUUUGUGCACAUAUUUGUAUAUUUGCAAUGUUUCCAACACACUUAGGGUUAGAGUUUUGUCAUCCAUUGCCUGUUACGACUUAUCCUCUCCAUAAUCCUGUUUUUCCUCUCCCAACCUGUGCAGAAAUGGCUCCGUACAUUUUCCAUACUUUACGCUUUCCCUUUGUUUGCCAUAACCAGUGGUUUUCUGUGAAAUGUAUUAGCUUUACUUCUGAUGAUUUGCUCUAAAACAAGACCUAAGCUUUUUUUUUGUGUACUUUCCCACACCCCCAAAAAGCACCACCCAUGGUCUUGCUUUUUCUAACCCAACCUUGUUCCAAAACGGGAAAAUCUGACUUUGGCAACCCUGCUCCUCAAAAUGAUCCAUUUUACUCAAAAAGAAAAUGCUAAUUUCCAACAUAAAGAUUAAUGCACUCAGCUACAUGUCUGUAACUAAAAUUGAAAGCCGAGCCUGAUAACAAGCUAAAGUUUAGUUCUUGUUAAAAUGACUGUGUGUAAAUGUGAAGCAGAACGGGGAUGUUGGAGGCAACUCAAUUCCUCCAUCUCCUUUUAUUCCCUCCAUCGUCGUUGUUACAACCACCUGAUCGGGAGGAUUCGCGAUCAUGUGCAAAGACUUUAGGGCUCUGUAGUAUUGCUCUAAAAUAAAAAUAAAAAACGUAAGUAAUUUAACAGAACAGGAGGAUUAAUGAUUAUCAUCCAGCCAUCAGGGCUUUUAAUGCAGCACUUAUUCUCUAAAGACUCUAAAUAUGUUUGAGCUUUGUUGAGAAAAACCACAUGUUUGGAUAUUUGGGUAUGGUACGAGUUUAUAUUACAGAUGUAUACAUUAUUAUUCGACUUUAUAGCACAGCUUAGAGCUUAUUACACAGACAUCCUCACUGGUAUUGUAAACUUUCUUCAAUUUUCAGAUGAUUGAAUUAUGAUAUUUUACCAUUUACUCUAAUUACCUGAUUACGGUUACUAACUCAUUUUGUUUAGCAAAUCUCAUUGUGAUCUGUUAUAUUGAAUUGUUUCUAAUGCAAAAUUCCUGGAAAGCAUGCUGAGCUGCAUUUACAUGUAUGGAACAAGUUCCAUGGAAAUAUGUUUAAAAUAAAAUAAAGUGAUUACUAACAGCCUACAGUGCC
ensembl:lncRNA uncharacterized LOC107603241